UUCUAUAUACCUGCCAUAUUAAGGCGAAAUCUCGAAAGACUCAUUAAAUCAGUUAUGGUUUCUUAGAUAGUACCUUACUACUGGAUAACUGUGGCAAUUCUAGAGCUAAUAUAUGCAACAGAGCUCCGACCCUUUGAGCACGAGAGCUUUUAUUAGACCCAAACCAGUCGGACUUCGUAUCGCAUUAGCGUCUCCGUACAACUGCCAAGCGUCUGCCUUAUCAGCUGUCGAUAGUAGGUUACACUCCUACCAUGGUUGUAACUUUUGACGUCCCUAAACUAAGUUUAAAAGCGGAA
rnacentral:ncRNA from 1 species